GUGUUUGCUUCAGCAGCACAUAUACUAAGCAUUGGAAGGAUACAGAAAUUAGCAUAGCCCCUGCACAAGGAUCAUACACAAAUGUAUAAAGUAUUCCAUAUUUCU
ensembl:snRNA U6 U6 spliceosomal RNA